rnacentral:antisense_RNA from 1 species
CUUGAGGGAGCCGAGCCAGAGCGGAGCAUGCGCGGGCCGCCCCUGGCCGUAGGUGGCGAGCAGGGCCUCGGCCUC